UAAAUGAUUAUUAUUUCUCCAAAGACGAAGCCAUGAAAGUAAAACAAAUGACUAGUUAUUGAGACAUGAUAAUAAUUCCAGUACACACCAUUAUCAACAAAAGAGAAAUAAAACACUGCAAAUCCAAGCCUACAUGAUCAGACGGUCCGAAGAGGUGAAAGAAGGGGAAAGAGCCCUAGUUGGAAGACUUAUCGUCAUUCUUGUAGUACACGUAAUCGGGAGGAGAGUAAACGAGAGCGGCGGCCAUGGCUCCUGGAAGAACAAGGUACUUGGCGAACAC
rnacentral:misc_RNA from 1 species